AUGGACCCAACAGAGACACUAAAUGUUAGGUUUCAUUUUGGAGGGGAUUUCAUCUGAAUUGGUAGACAAUUGGACUAUGUUGGGGGUGAUGAGGGGGUGUCAGAGAUUGAGAGAGACACGCUCUCUUUGCAGGAGGUCAAAGGGUUUUUGAAAGAUCAUAUGGAACUGAAGGAAUCAAUGAAAUUCUACUUUCAUAUUCCUGGGACUGAAUUGAUUGAUGGUUUGGUAUUCUUGGAUGAUGACAGUAAAUGUGUGAAGAUGGGGGAUUAUAUUUGUGUUGGUGCUGUUGCACAUAUUUAUGUUAAGUACCAUGGGGAAUAGGACAGUGCAGACAACAGCAGUUGCAGUGAUGUUGAGGAUGAACUUGUGCAGUUAAGUGAUGCUCCACCUGCCAUUGUCACUGCUGAAGCUACUGACAGUGAAGAAGAAGUGCAAGUUGUUGAGAAUAUCACUGCUGAAGCUAGUGACAGUGAAGAAGUGCUACUUGUUGAGAAUAUCAUGGUUCCUGAUGACACAGGGGUCAUCUCCCAAAUCAUUAUCAGUCAGUGA
rnacentral:rRNA from 1 species